AACGAACGCUGGCGGCAGGCUUAACACAUGCAAGUCGAACGCAUCCUUCGGGGUGAGUGGCAGACGGGUGAGUAACGCGUGGGAACGUGCCCUUCAGUUCGGAAUAACCCAGGGAAACUUGGGCUAAUACCGGAUACGUGCGAGAGCAGAAAGAUUUAUCGCUGAAGGAUCGGCCCGCGUCUGAUUAGCUAGUUGGUGAGGUAAUGGCUCACCAAGGCGACGAUCAGUAGCUGGGCUGAGAGGAUGAUCAGCCACAUUGGGACUGAGACACGUCCCAAACUCCUACGGGAGGCAGCAGUGGGGAAUAUUGGACAAUGGGCGCAAGCCUGAUCCAGCCAUGCCGCGUGAGUGAUGAAGGCCUUAGGGUUGUAAAGCUCUUUCAGUGGGGACGAUAAUGACGGUACCCGCAGAAGAAGCCCCGGCUACCUUCGUGCCAGCAGCCGCCGUAA
rnacentral:rRNA from 1 species